GGUCACUCAACUUUUAAAGGUCUGAUUUUGGUCACUAAACUGUAAAAAGGUAAAACGCGAGGCCAUUCUGUUACAUAUAGCCGUUAAAUUCUUUAAUCUGUCCGUUAGCGCGAUUUCCAAGAUAAAAGAUAGGGUCUCUUUUGGAAGUUCAAAAUAGCAUUCAAUGGAUCCUGAACCACAUGGAUCCCCCAACCCGACUUCAGAUCCGGCGAGUACAUAUGCUUAAUUGCCGAUUCAAUCAUUUUCCUGACCUCAUUACUCGCGGAUCCAAGAUCCUCCAAGAACCUCCUCACCGUCCUCCGCCUCAACUCCUUCAUCGUUAAAACUGACCCCAUGGCCUUCCUCGACGCUGUAAACAGACAAUUUUCGUCGGCUUCCACCUCUCCGCCGUGACUUAACCUGAAGACGACCAACGUGUUCUGAUCCUCUAGAUGCUUCCACAAAACCCCUUUUGCCUGCAGCCUCGUCAGGUGCCUUUUCUGCUACUCCUCUAAUCCUGAAACGUCAUCCCACGACGUCAUUGUUGUUGGCGGCACUGGCCGCUGACUGGUCAACGAGAUCCACCGUUGGAGUUGAAGUUGGGUCUCUCCAUAGCAGGUCUUUUGUUUUCCCUUGUUGGCGUAAAGCCAACCCUUUUAUGUCUUUUAGCAACCAAGAUUAAAGUCUUUGUUUGAUCUGACAGAGAUUAGGACCCACAAAUAGAUUAGUAAAUACUUCUUCGAUCGGGGCUGAGAAGAGAAAAAGACUUAUUUUGCAAGAACUUCGAUAAAAGAGAUCCACCGUUGGAGUUGAAGUUGGGUCUCUCCAUGGGAUCACCGGUGACGACGCCGUCGGGUAGCAAAUCAACUUUCCCAUUUCUCAAAUCUUUUGAAUUUCCUUAAAAGACCUUACCUUUUGUCUUGGAAAUUGCACUAACGGACAGAUCAAAGAACUUAACGGUUAAAUGUAACAGAAUGGCCUCGCAUCUUACCUUUAUACAAUUUAGUGGCCAAAAUCAAACAUUUAAAAGUUGAGUGAUCAAAACUUGACGAUCGCAAAAGUUUAAUGGCCAACCGGAUAAUUUGCUCUUCUAUAUAUAUAUAUAUGUAUGUUAACAGGUUUAGGUUAUGGAUAAGUGCUUUUUCGUUGUGAGGCGAAGAAUAGCCAUGGAACUAUGGGCUUAGGCAACAGAGGGAUGUUAGAAAGCAAGUAGCUGGACCGCGGAUAGAAGCAUAAAACAGAGCCCAAACCACAAUCUUGGUUAGAUGGAUCAAGGAUAGAUAUAUAUACACACACACACACAUGGGCAGACGGUAGGAUAGAGGGAUGAGCCCAAAAAGUAUUCAACUGCUAGACAAAGAAGUUAAGAAGGGCGGAAACCUCAAACAUUGGAAGUUAAGAACUGGUAGGAGUAAUUGGGUAAUGAAACCCUAAGCAGCUCGCUGAACCUCCUCUUGUGUGAGUUAUAAAACGCAAACGGCACCUCUCCAGCUGUGAGUCCUAUGAAUCUGUCCUGGAGAUCAUUCCGACAGUAAACUCCACUCCCGGGAACCUUUUAUCUCUGCACUAAGUACUGAGGCUCUGUGGCCGUAAAAAGAUGGCCAAGCUGCCUAAUUUUACAAAGUGCAAACACUAAACAAAGCAUCAAUGGGCUUCGCUUUGCAGCGUAAACUCUCCUUAUGCUUAUGCUGCCUGUUAUGCCCAUACAUAUGCUCAAUUGCUGGUGCCUUUUGCCCUUCUUUUUCCUGCUUUUGUUUUUGGUUUCUCAUCAAUCGAAAUAAAACGGUCUGAAUUGGCAGAUUAGUUUGAGAAGAGACUCCAAAACCAAAAAAAAAAAGGGUAAAUUGAAAUGUGUGAAAGUCAUGAGUAAUGUAGUAGUAGUAAAUUUUAAGUGUCAAAUUUUAAUUCCCCCUCCCUUCCCUAAUGGUGACGAAGAUACUUCUGGCGAAAUAUUUGAGCAGUUUACGGGACAUCAAAUAUGGUUUUCGAUGCAGUAUUAUCAAUUAUGCUAGCUUACAAGUGGGUAAAUUAUCAAUUAUGCUAGCUUACAAGUGGGUGCUUUUAAUGGUAUCUAGGAUGCUCUGCUGUAGCAUCAUUCUUGUGAAUUUGUCUAAGCCAUUUGGUAGCAACGCCCGUACUCCGGUGCAUUUGAAUUAACUGUUUUUUGGGGUGUUUUUGAAAAAUUUUACUGUAAUAGAGUUUUUAUAGUAUAUUUUAGAAUAUUUUGAAAUAUUUAAGAGUAGAAGAGUUUUUAGAAUAUUUUUUGUAAUAUUUUUUAAAUAUUAAAAAAAUUUAGACAAUUUUUUAGAAAUUUUAAUAGUAUUUGAAAAACUCAGCGAUCCAACUAGAGACUCUUUUGUAUUUUUAAAAAAUUUUAAUAAUAUUUGAAAAACUCAGCAAUCCAAAUAGAGCCUCUGCAAAAAUUUUAUCUGUCAAAUUUCAUUGUCUCUUUUCAUCUGUCAAUAUAUUAGUAAAUCACCGUGAGAGGCCAUCUCAAAAUGUAUUGACAUUUCAUAUCAGGUUUCAUUUCAGUUGUUAUUACUUAAUCUAAAAUUAUGAGCUGUCCUCGUUGUCCCUGGAAUGGAUCCUCUCGUGGCGUAUUUAAGGAAUGGAUCUUUGGCUCUAGGAGCAUUUGUCUUCGAAGUCACCAUCAGCAAUCAGCAAAUAUUAUUGCAAAAUGUUAUUUUUACUGCAAUAAAAAUAUAUAUAGGUUUUCCGAAAGAAUAGUCCAGAGACAGCAUGGCAUCUUCCUACUAGUACUACUAUACCCUGAAUGGUCUGGGGACCUGUUCUCCUGCUGAUUUGAAGCAGAAAACUGAAACUGGGACUCGGUGUAAAAGUACAACAAUCAUUUUGUUCAAGUCCAAGUCUGGAUUCGGACAUCUUUUCCAAGAUAUUGCUGGCAGUGUUAUUACUCCUCUUGUAUAAGGGAGAAAAAAAGGAAAGAAAAAAAAGAGGAGGGAAAAAAAAAGGUCCAAUUCGGGAUUAAGACAUCUUCUCCAAGUUAUUGAUGCUACGGUGGUGCUGCCUUGCUCAUUUUGGGACUUCUUACUGCAAAAGCGAAUUUGACGCGGUGCUGAGCUAUGAAUGGUCAUUCGAGUAAAGGGGCGGUUUGGUGUACAGCGCGCAGAAACAUCCAACCACUUCGUACGCUCCAUAGAUUGUAUUGAAAAAGCAUGCAAAUUUCAAACUCAACCCGAACUUGGUCCUGAAAGAAUUGAAUGAAGCUGGAGAAUACUCCAACCAACCUCUCUUUUUCCCAGGCUGCAUUUAGACCCCUUUUUAAUUGCUCAUCAGAGGGAGAAGUGCAUCUGCAAAAGCGGCUGAGAGGCGUUCCAUAUCCAGGCUUCAUAAUUUCUCUAGCAAAGUACAACAUGUACCAGAACGGUAGAAAGUAGGCUUCUGGGUUCUGCUAUUUCUCACUCAUGUAGUACUCGUACACCACCAUGCCAUCAUCACUCAAAUGCAGAAACCGUGACGGAUUCUGACGGUGAUACGUUUGGAAAUUAAUCAAAUCGUGCUCCAUUUCCAAUUCCACUACUUCCCUUUGCCUUUGCCUGUAAAAGUAAAUUUGUAAGUCAUACAGGCCCUCUCUGAUGCUAUGUACUACGAGCGUAUCUUGCAGAGUUUCUGCAAGAAUCAAGUCAAUUCGGAUGGACAAAUAAGACAUUAGCUGGUGUUGUUGGAUCAACGGACAUUUGACAGAUAAAUUGUAAGCAAGCUCCAGUUCCGGAACUGCAUUAGAACCCUGCGGACUGGAAAUGUUUUGCAGGUUCCUGAACCAAUGCUUUUAUGAUGGAAUUUAAUUCGAUCCCUGGAUUGCCCUGUCC